rnacentral:tRNA from 1 species
GGGGUUGUGGCUCAAAGGUACAGCACACGCCUAGCAUGAGCGAGGCCCUGGGUUCAAUCCUCAGCACCACA